GUCACUAUUUUAGAGUUCCUUUAGCCCUGUGCCUUAAGUAAUUGUAUGAAUAGGGAUCAUUUACAAGGGGGUAUAUUUUUUAGGGUAAUGUGUGAGAGUCCGUAUUUUCGCUAAUCUAAUUCUUCUAUUUGUGUAUUCAAGAUCAGGUUGUUCGUCAAGAAACUCCUGUCCAAAUUCCUGAAGCCAGGAGCUUUUAGAGGCGUCAAUGAGGACACAGUGGACCUCAGGGAUGAGGAGAGCCAAUUGCCAGAUUCUCAGCUUGGUGUGGGCUUCACAACGAGGACAACGUUAAACCGCCUUGUGGAAGCAGGUGAUGUCUCCAUGGACUCGGCUAAAAACUUCCAUCUCGCAGCCAGGAGCUUUUUUGUGAAGGCAGUCGAGUACGCCACAGCUAAGCUCCCUUUACAUGACCCUGUGCUGGAGCAUUCAAGGUUCGUGGACUUCAGACAAAAAAUGGAUACCACCUUUGAUGAUGUGCUCUACUUUGUUCAUAGAUUCAACCAUCACCUGCCCUACAACCAACCAAGGGAGCAGGACCAGCUGAAUGAUGAGUUCCUAGAGUUUCAGAUGAUGGAGGAGGAAGAUAUACCUGCAUCCAUCUGGGGGGAGGCGGUCAUCAGGACAAAUGAGGAUGGGGAGUACCACAGGAUGGCCCCCCUAUGGGUAUAUCUGGGAAAUCAUAAGAAUCGGGCAAGUGGCACUUUUAAA